AGCGAACGCUGGCGGCAGGCCUAACACAUGCAAGUCGAACGGACCCUUCGGGGUUAGUGGCGGACGGGUGAGUUACACGUGGGAACGUGCCUUUAGGUUCGGAAUAGCUCCUGGAAACGGGUGGUAAUGCCGAAUGUGCCCUUCGGGGGAAAGAUUUAUCGCCUUUAGAGCGGCCCGCGUCUGAUUAGCUAGUUGGUGAGGUAAUGGCUCACCAAGGCGACGAUCAGUAGCUGGUCUGAGAGGAUGACCAGCCACACUGGGACUGAGACACGGCCCAGACUCCUACGGGAGGCAGCAGUGGGGAAUCCUGCGCAAUGGGCGAAAGCCUGACGCAGCCAUGCCGCGUGAAUGAUGAAGGUCUUAGGAUUGUAAAAUUCUUUCACCGGGGACGAUAAUGACGGUACCCGGAGAAGAAGCCCCGGCUAACUUCGUGCCAGCAGCCGCCGUAA
rnacentral:rRNA from 1 species